CUCCCCUCAAAUCAAUGUAAAGCAAGAUGGCGCUUCAUAACUCGGAAUACAAUCCGAUAAUUACCCAGAAACGACACGGCAUUGUGGGCUCGUGAUGAUGACAGGCUUUGAGUUUGAUUGGCAACUCAAGGAUUGCAUUUGAACUUUGAAGGGGGCCAAAAAGCAGUGAAGAAAAACAUAAUGCAAUUGUACACAGUAAAAGAUGGAGGGGCAGAGAGGGAGAGAGGGAGAGGAGAGAGAGAGAGAGAGAGAGGGAGGGAGGGUAAAGAAAGUGAAGGGAGGAGGGGAGCAGAAGCGCAUCUUUGUUAGCUUUCUCUGCUUUUCAUGCCCUUAACCUCUUCUUCUCUCCUCUGCAAAAGGAAAAGCCAAUGACCCCAUUCCCAUGCUCCUUCCUUCCUUUCUUUCUUUCUUCAUAAAUAUACAAAACACACAUCAACAACAGAGACACAGACACAGAGAGAGAGAGAGAGAGAGAGAGAGAGGUGCGGUGGGGGUGGACCACCCCGGUUUGGUGAUUGGAGUGUGAGUGUGGUUCAAAAGUAAUUCUGGCUGGGAAAAUAUCUCACCAUAAUAAUAACAAUUCAUUUUUUUUUUUUUAAUUUCCUCAUCAUAAAUCUCUAUGACCUGUACAAUUCCUUAUUCCACGGUCUCCUCCCAUUUUUCUUUUUUCUUUUUUUGAAUCCCUCACUCCUCUGGGGAAAACAUUUUCUCUCUUACCUAUACCAUCCCCCCCCCCCCCCCCCCCUUUUCAAAAUCUUCACUUGGCCUUGGUUGCCCUUGGCCCCAAAAUUUCUUGAAGAAACACCUUAAAAAAAAAAAUCAAAAAAAGCCAGGGAAAAUAAAUAAAAAAAGGGAAAAAAGAAAAACGAAAUUACCCCUCCCAUCCCCAACCAAAGGACAAGUUUUUGCCCUUCCCCCUUUUUCCUUUCCCAAGUCGGGUUUGAACAAAAUUCAGCCAAACCUGCUCGGUCCCGGCUUGGGGUGGGGGGGUUACCCCCGGGCUCCAAUUUUGCGCCGGCGGUGACGCUCCAAUUUACAGACUCUCGCACUCCGAACCUCCGAAGGAUCCACCAUGAAUCUUAAUUGCCGCUCCAGGGUUCAUGUGGUGACGAUCCUUGGUUCAUCCGCAAGUCUAUUCCUUUCUCCAUACACUUCCCUUUCCCUCCAGCAGCUACCUUUCCUCUAUGAAGAUUCUUCCUAUAAAAUCCCGGAAUCUCUUGGAAUAGAGUUUUGGAUCCACCGCCGAGAUAGAGGUGGGAUCAGCUUGGAAGGAUUUAUAUGCAUGCUCUAUCUUCUUGGUGAUGUCGUAAUCCUGUAGGAUGUCGAUGAUGCCGAAGUAUAGAACAACCUCAUAUGUCUCGCUGUUCCGUGAAGGCGUCAAAUGGCUCACGCCCCCUUGAGUGUACUGGUCAAAAUCACUCCUCCGAGCCAUCCUCUCUGCUCUCGCAGGCAUAUUUGCUCCUAACCGUAUCAAGGGUUUCCUGAUGAAAAGUAAUUCAGUUUUUAUCUCAGUACGAAUGAUUUAUAAAUUUGUUCCCAAAAAAAAAAAAAAAAUCCAAAGCAACCACAUAUGUACAAUUGAUGUCCUGCUACAUGUUUUCUGAUUCGAAUGAAAAGAAGCGAAUUCAUUGGAAUAAAAUCGACAUGGAAAUCAAUGUGCAAGGGCAUAGAAACUCUUCAUCAGUAUUCUAUAGGACAACAUAAGAUCCAUCAUUAAAAAUUCCCAAACCCAAUCUUGAAGCCAACAGUACUCCACAAGCAUUGUCCCAAGAGAUGAAGACAGAACAGGAAACAGACGUGACCCACAUACAGCUAUUGCUUAGACUACCAAGGCCAUUGAUUGCCCUAGACAGUCGUGCUAGAUUUAAUUACUCUUAAAUAUUGCUUGGCCAAUCUCAAUAAAUUGGAUUUAAAUGACAAAAAUCAAUCAUGAAUCUUGUCAAAUAAAGGGGCAUUCCCAGGGUGAACUUGAGACAAAAGAACAACGAGUCUUAAAUCAUACCUGCCAGCUAAAACUCGGUCCAUGUCUUGUAGCUCUGCCUCAAGGAAACGGCAGCCCCGCAUGAACUUUUCAUUCUGAUAAGAAUCUUUUCUGCCUGCAAAGGCAAAUGCAUUCCUUAUGAAAUGUUCUUUGUUAUAAACAUAAUGGAUCUAACUAGAGAUAGUUACUGAGAAAAGAAUUAUGAAUAAUUACCAGUUCGCAACACGAACGGAGACAACCCCAUUUUGUCACACGUGCUGGUAUCCCGAAAAUGAAGACCAACCAAUAGACUAUAAUCCAUUAUUCCCUCUGCUUCCAAGAACUCACAGUCUUGCUCGAUUUGCCUGAUCAAAAUUUCAGAGGACAUAAGUACUAUACAGGAGAAGGAAAAGGUUUUAGGUUUGCUCACUAAUAGAAAGGCCAGGGCGUAUUAUGACCAAGACUUACGUCUUGAGCUCUUGAAACCAACUCCGUUGCAGGCGAAAUACAAAAUUGAGAUCGAGAUCCUUCAGGGUUGUUGUUUCAUCAAUCUCCUCCUCGGGUUUAUCUGUCAUGCGGCCAUGGGAGGAUCCUUUCAGAUCAAACCGCCGAUGUAUUCGGUAUUCUGAGCAAAACAAGUUCGCCAUGACAAUGAACCGGGUCUGGAUUUCAAUAGAAUCAGAAGUAAGUACUUAAUGGCCGGAGUUUACAAAGGCCUGGCAAUAAAGGUUGAAAUAUCUUCAAUAGAGCAUAUACCUUCUGGCCACCGAUAGGUUUGACACAGUGCACACCGAAGAACUUUGUCACCAGGGAAUUUUCGUACUUGCGGACAUGAUGGAAAUAGCUACGGAGCAUCCUUAUAAGCACCUGAACGUAGAUUUCCAAAACUCAGUUCCAAUCUACUAGAAGCUCCACCUUCCGGGCGUAUUUGCUCAGUCACAGAAGUAGUGCGAAAGCUUACCUUAACUUCGGACUUCUUCACAGUUUUUAUCAUAAAUCUGUCAUCCUGGGUAAGGUAGAAGAAGCUGCCACUCUUCCCCGGCGAAGAGAGCUCUCUCAAUGCGUCGUUGCCGCAAAUCGCUACCAUGUAAUCGGCAGGAUCCACUUGAAACAGCUCCCUCAAGUGCCUGAAAUGUCAAGCCAUUUAUUUAGCAGAUGAAAAUAGCGGAUAGGGAAAAGGAGAUUUGGGAAAAACUAGUGAUGACCCUAGUCAUCGACCGAAUGUUGUCAUAAUUACCUAGACUUCAAGAAAGAUAUGAAGUAUUCAUUAAGGAUAAAUCAAACACUGAAUAAACUGCACACCAAGCAAAGCAUAAAACCCCAAAUCACGCUCCCGUGCAAAUUUACCUGAACACCAUUGGGCAAUAAUCCUUCCAGCGGAAUUCCACCGAUUGAUGGGGCGGCGUAACCUUUGAUCCUUCCGGCGGAAACCUCGUCCAGAACUUCUCCUUCGGAUCGAAGUCGCUCGGCCUCAAAUCCCGCAGGUCGCUCUGCUUCCCGACAGAGUAACUAAAAAAGAAAUAAUUGGACAAAAAAUCAAAACCCCAUGAUCCAGAAGAAGGUCGUGAAACAAAAUUAAUCGAGAUCCAUCAGUCAGAUUCGAGCGGCCGAAUUACCUGAUACCCAAUUGCAAAUUGAGCAUCAAGUCGUAGUUCUUGUGCCCUUUCGAGAUCGUCUGGCCUGGCUUCUUGGCAUCGUCACUGAAACAACAAGGUCCCCUCCUAAAAUCCGUAAACCCGUCGUGGCCGAACCCCAUCCCGUUACGGUAGAAGAUGGACGCCGGCACAUUGUCGAUGAUGUCGCAAGUGAUGUCCCCAGCCUCGCCGUCGGACUCCCAAAUACAUAUCCUGGGGAAGUUCCUCUCCGUCAAGCUCCCCCUCGCGCCGUCCACGGAGGACCGCUUCCGCAUCGUGGCGAGCAUCAAAUGCUCGGCGACAUAGGCCGCGUCGUUGCUCUUCCCGUUGCCCGGGUAGAACGCCCCCUCCAAUUGCUGCUGAAUCUUCAAGUCCUUGUUCCAAGAGAUGGAAUAGCGACCGCCGUCUGGCCAGAUGAACACGCCAUUCCCCUUCGGGACCCCGUUCUCCCAGUGCCCUUCGUACCGGUUGCCGUUGGCCCACGUCAGCACGCCGCGGCCGGAGAUCACGCCGUUGCGCCACUCGCCCUCGUACUCGUUCCCGUUCCUCCACACGUACCGGCCCUGCCCGUCCUGCAGGUUCCGCUUCCAGGUGCCCUCGUAGAAGUCGCCGUUGGCGUACCGCUUCUGGCCGUAGCCGUGCUUCCGAUCGGCGUUCCAGGAGCCGCGGUAUGUGUCGCCGUCGGCGCCGACGAAGGUCCCGAGGCCCUCCAUCCGGCCGGACUUGAACUCGCCCUCGAAGGUGGCGCCGGAGGGCCAAGAGAACUUGCCCUUCCCGGAGGCCUUGCCCCGCCUCCACUCGCCCUCGUACAUGCAACCGUCGGCCCACAGGUACUUGCCAGAUCCGUGCGGCGCAUUCCCCGAGAAGCUCCCGAUGUAUAGAUCUCCGUUGGGGAGAGGCUUCUCGACGGCCCUCCCGGCGGCGGUGGCCACCGCCGGGGCGACCCGUCGGGUCCCGGCCUGCGAUCGGCUCCGGCUGACGACGAUCGGGGGCGCCACGACGAGCUCCAGGGGGGGCUUCCGGCCGUCCUUGUCGGAGACCACCGUGACCCUAAUCCCGCCCUCCUCCUCCUCCUCCUCGGACGACGACUUCUUCUUCUUCGUCAGCGAACUCCGCUCAUCCAGCAACAACGCCUCAUGCAUUUUCUUUUUCCGCCAGUCCCGCUCCCUCGUCGGCGCUCUACAUCAAAUCAGAACACCUCCUCAUCCGGGGGAACUCUCGCGCUUCCUCUCCGCUGCUGCUGCUCCUCCUCCUCCCGGCCGUCGGAAUCACCCGCAUUAGCGGCGGCGAGCCCACCGCCGGAGCGAACAUACAGCGGCGGCCGGGUUCCUCGGUACAGAAGUAGUCCCGCCUUCCGGAGAGACUCCCGUCGCUCGGUCCAGAGAUUCGGCGAACUCUCGCCGCGCGGGGAGAGAAAUCGGCGGGGUGGUUGGGGAAUACUGCGAGCGACAGAAGGUGCGGAGAGCGAAGAAAGAAACGAAGAGGAUAGAAAGAGAACGAGAGAGAGAGAGAGAGAGAGCCAACGAAUACAAAAAGUGGACAAGAGAUAGAGAGAGAAGAGGGGGUGUGUUUUGUGUGGGUACGUUUUAAUUUUAUUUUUUUUUGGUGCAAAAUGGAGGAAAAAAAAUUGCGAAAAAGGGAGAAAAAGGGGGAUGGGUGAGAAGCGAGCCAGGACGAGAUAAUUGAAUUUGAGACCCGGCUUGGCUUUUGUUGCAUCGGGAACGGAGCAAUAACGGAGGGGGGGUCAGCUUUCUUUUAAUUACGGGGUGGUGCUUAACUUGGCGGGACGAAAGGACGGAUGUGCCCUCGGUGGAUCGUGGGAAUUCCCGUCCUACAGGAUUCCUUCGAUCUGCUGCCGGCAGGCUGCAUCGGCAUCGUGCGCAUCAUCGAGAUGUGACGGCGUCUCCGAGGCCGGCCCCCCCUCUCGCUCUCCUCCUCCUCCUCCUCCUCCUCCUCCUGCGUUGCUGCUAGUACCACGGCGGCGUGCCAUAAAGCGACACGGUAACGCCAGCUACCAUUCGCCCUCGCUUUUCCGCGUUAAUUGCGAGUCUGCCACUCCGUCCCUCCGUCCCGUCCGUCGGUUCUGUUCCGACUGACCGUGGCGGACGGUGGCGGGUCCGGGUCGGAUCCCUUUUCUUUCGUUCUCUUUUGUUUUUUUUUUCUUUUCUUUUCUUUUUUUGUGACCGUUUGCUUUUUGGGAUCGGCAGAUGGGUGUUCACUGUUCAUCGCUGUGGCCCUUUUACCAAUCGAACCCGGCGAAGUCCCGACAGGCCGGGAGAUGAAUCGGUGCAGAUUCCCAAAAUUUUCUUUCUUCUUCUUUUUUCUUUUUUUUUAAGGGGAAAAAAAUUGUUUAUGUGUGUGACUGUGUGUGUAUUGUCAGAUCCGAGAUGAGAAUUUUGGUGGUCCGUAUCAAGGAGGUGCACUGAGGCAGCCUCAUUGAGCCGUCCAAAUCAAGGGGAAAACCGGUCUCUCUACCUGCAGGAUCUCGGACAAAGUUUGGAGUAAUGGGGGAGUGCAAAGUCGAUUUACAGGCUUGGUUCGUCCAAUCAUGUGGCCACCUGUAAUUGGGUUAGCUCAACAAGUCCUUCUUAUAUCUCGAUUUAAUGCAUACACAUCGUGUCAUGAAUUGAUAUUUGACCUUUUCACAUUUUUCCCCGACUAUUUUGUCGGAUACAAGAAGCCCGUUGAUUUAAAAAGCUGUUCCUAGAAAAUUAUUUUCCAACUUUUCAAAAUUUUUUUAUCAUACAAGGUUAAAUGAUAUACAGAAAAACAUUUUCCAUGCACCAAAAAUAAUAAAAUAAAAAGCGACUCCCCAUCCUGACAAGAAGUUAAUCGUAAAUAAGAAUUGACCAUUUUCCUUCAAAAUGGUAUCCAUAAAAAAUAUUUUCAUUUAUCAUGAAAUUUUCAACGAAAUAAACUCAGUCUAAAAUCGAGUGAUUUAUGAAUUAAUAUUCCACACGGAUUACAAAGCCGGAAAACCUCAUUUUCAAUACAUUUCAGAGCGAAUAGACUUUCGACAUUUUGUUUGCGCUUUAUAAGAAAUUAGAGAUUUUUAUUUUCUUUAAUUCGAACAUCAACUGAUGGAAUGGUUUGUUGAGGUAGGAGAACAUGAAGCGACCCCCCGAGCGAUCUCGUACGCGAGAUCUGCCGAAUCAAAUAUGAGCUUCGGCAAAAUGGGUAUUUUCCUACAACUGGAGUUGGGUGCGCGAAUCGUGGGCGUUUUAGCAGUGGACCUUAGAAAAAAAGAAAGACUCGGCAAACACACUCAAACCGCGUGGAAAAGCAUAUCCAAUUUUCUCAAUAAUAUCAACAACAACAACAUCGACAUCAGCAUAAAUGAUAGUAUAUAGCGAUCGCAAUAAUAGCAAUAAUCUACCUAAUAAUAAUGCUGAUUUUAGGAUUGGUUAAUUGAACUAAUUUACAUUUUUUUUUUUUAUAUCCAGGAUCCAUCGAAACCCCCUUUCGCUGAGUCUCGCCACAAGCCGUUAUUUAUACGUCAAUACAUAGAGAGAGCUAACCCAGGACCCCAACACCAAUGCCCCCACUUAUGAUACUUUAGCAAUAAGAUGGUUUGAAUCAUUGACAUCAGCGAUGAGAAAUAACGCACACCAACUGCGCUACUCGUGGUUGGGUUACAUUUUUUUUAUAAUUCUAAGUUUACAAAGCAUCAAAUUUGUGAAAUAUUGAGAAAAAAACAAAAAAGAGAACGGACGAGGGCCGCAAGGAGCCACAUUUUGCAUGUCAAAAAAAAAAAAAAAAAGAGGAGAAAUUAUAUGGGAAAAGUUAGAUAUGGUGAGAGAAAAUAAGUAUUCCAAGAUUCGUUCUAUUUAUGGAAAUGAAUUGAAAUUUUCUUUUUGGAUCAAUGAGGAUCUAAAUGCGAGUUUGGAAAGUAGCAUUGAUUUAAGGAAUCGUGAUCUUGAAGUGCCACGGGGCUUGAUGUAAUCUCAAACGAGAAUUCCGUCCCUAUGUAAAGCAUUUUAUCGUGAAUUUAGUCCGAAUUCGAAAUUAUCUUUCUUUGUUCGUUUUCAUUUGCGUCGCGACGUACUCUGAAUAUUCUACAUGCAUAUCAUAUGCUGCAUCCUGUCGUAGGGACGGGUCGCGUCGAGCGUCGCCGGCCCACGUGCCAUGCAUGUGCGGUUGGCGCGAUGGGAGAAGCCUGUGUGGCUCCUGAUGAAUCGUGAAGCUAUUAUAUCUUGUUUUUGGCCGCAUGGUGGCCCCAUUUCAUUUCAUCUUGCCCCUUUAGUGGAACCUCCAACUUUGGGAGGAGUGGAUAAAUGCUUUCGCGAGAUACUAAUUUCGAAUCGUGGCCAUCCACAGUCGACCGCACAACAAGAGAUGUCGCAGUUGCUUCACUUUUUAGGGCAAUUCCUCUCUGGAGAUUCUGUAGGUUAUGGUUGCGAAGAUAGAGUUACAUUGCCCGAAUUACUGAGUUCGGAUUAUAGUAUUCCCAUCGAUUUUAAUGCGUGAGAUUUAUUUCUAUCUAUUCAGGGCAAUACACGAUAAUAGAAAGUUAUCCUUGCGUCGGACGUGUUUAAUCGGGAAUCGAUGUGAUGAUGUCGGGUUUCAUAUGGGUAGAGAGACAUUUAAAUCCGUCCUCGAGAUGCUCCGAAACACUCAUUGCUUGACGCUCAUUGCUAGCCAUUGAUUUACGUUUCAUUCUUAAUGGACUUGUCAGCAAAUUGAUGUGCCCAGCAAUUAGUGUAAAUGGCUUCCUAUUCCUUUCCUAUACUUCGGAGUAUGAUGACCAUAUCUUACAGAAAGUGGGAAAAAAAUCAUUUCGAAGUAUCGUGGCAUGCGUCCCUUUGAACUGAAGAAGCCUUCAAGAGAUAGAAUUUGGAUGAACAUAGAACCGUAAAACAAGUAAUGAAACUGGUGGGUCUGAUCAGGUGGAAAAUGAUUUGACCCAAAGCAACCUAAUUUACCCAUUUUUGAUGCAUUUGCAAAUGCAAAUGCAGUGACUCAUAUCCAAUUCAAUCCAUGCGACAUAUUAAAUUCAUACACGACCCGAAUCAUAUUAUUAAAAUACUUCAUUACUUAACUCAAUCUAGAGAAAUUCAUACCCAUACACGACCCGAAUCAUAUUUUAAAAUACUUUCUUAUUUAACUCAAUCUAGAGAAAUUCAUACCAACCAAAACUGAGGUGAGAGCCAGAAGUGAGAAAGCACGAGAGAUAGACUGAGUUUAAGUAAAUUGUCAACCUAAUUAACACCCUAAUUAUUUUGAGAUUUACUAUUUCAAACACGUUCAUAACUUAUUUACUGAAUAUAACUAAUCAAUUUUUGAUUAAUUUUGCUGGGUUUAUGAUACAUUUUAACAUGCCCAACGAAACGGGUGGAUUUGAGUGAAUAAUCGGUUAGAGGAUCCAAAGAUGUAUAUACAACACCCCCUUCGGGACAAAUCCAUCGCUCACCUAACAACAAAGACAAAUGCAAUCCUGUAGUUUAAUGGUCCGCGGGGUUAGUUAAAUGAUGAGAUCCGCAAAGCAAAAGUUAAUUCCUUCAUAUUUGGACCGCGUAGGUUUGACUUCCAACGUACGAGAAGUAAUACCCCGAGACGCGCUGAUUAACACCAUCGAAUUAAACAUGAUUAGCGUGGAAUUUAACUAAGUAAUCUUGACAUGUUCCGACAAUGAUUCUGGCCUAAUCCUCCAGCACGCAACGGUGGAAUAUCUGUAUAACCGUGGUCGGAGCUUCGCCGAAUUUGCAAGGGGACUGCUCGGAAGCAUCGCCGUCGGGUCCGAUCCCCACUAAUUGUUUUUCUUUCCAAAACCCAUGUUUGUUUAACGAGGGGAGGUUGACAUUUGGUAAAAGUCCAUUGCCGGCGCGCAACUUAUACAUUAUCUACGAUCCGAGAUCUAAUCACUUCUUACAUCGGGCAUCACGAAUUUUAACGCUCGCCAGUAACGGUCGAUCCGCGUGUACAAGAUGAGCAAAUGCGAUGUUACGGGUUCAUUCCGAACUGUCCCUAAAACAACACAAGCCAUACGUUGAAUUCCACGUUUCCAUGGGUCGAUGAGAUCAAGGAGAGAACGAUGGCGUGGUGCUAACUGGACCGGCCAAUAGAUUUCUAGCGAAAUCAAGAGGGGGACGGGUACGUGUUUGUUGGGGUUAAAAAACUAGAAGUUGACCGGGCUAGGUUGUUUGGGCGGUGCCGAUUACUAUUUCCCCCAAAAUAAUUUAAUCCUUUGAACCGGUUCUUGGAUGAAGAAGGAGAGUACACGAGCGAUUUCAAGUCUCGCAUAAAAUCGAAUGGAGUUUCAUGGAUUUGAAUAGAAGUCAAUGGAAAAAAGAAUUGAAUAAGUAGCAUUGAUCUCUAAUUGGCAACACCUAAAAAUUGUCCUCUCAAGUUUCUAUUUACGCUUCAAAUGUUGCGUCACAAUGAUAUCAAGAUUUAUGGAUUAUCAAGUUUACGUGGUAUAACUGAUCAAUUAUAUCAAAUGUUGCGUCACAAUUUUAGGAAUUUUCACCUAACAAUUAAUUGUUCAUAAGUCUUUCACCCGUAACCGUUGUGUGGUGCAUCGAAGGCUUGGCAAUGAGACUAUGGGCGCGUUUGGUAACGAUUCUAUUCCUGGGAGUAGAUUCUGAUCAGAACUGAUUCUUUUUUAUUCUGUUCCCGGAAACUGAUUCUAAGCAUUUUAAGUUAUUUGGUAACUGUCCAAAUUUUUUUAUUCUGGAAUAGAAUUGCGUUUGAUACCAUGUUCAUUAAUUUUGUUCCAAAUCAAUUUUUUAAAUUUUUAAAUAAAUUUUUUACUUUUUUACUUUUUUUUCUUUUCUUUUUUCAUUUUUUCCUUUUCUUUUUCCUUUUUUUUUUCCUUUUUUUUUCUUUUCUUUUUUUCCUUAUUCUCAUCUUCUUCUUCUUUCUUGUGGUCGGUCGCCUAGCCCCGCCGAGCCCCGCCGGUGGCCAGGCCAGCCUCGCCGGGGCUGGGCGAGGCUUGCCAAGCCACCGGCGGGGCUGGGCAAGCCUCGCCUGGCCACCGGUGGGGCUGGGGCUGGGCAAGCCUCGGGGCUGGGCGUCGCGAGGCUUGCCUAGCCCCUACCCAGCCCCGGCGAGGCUCGGCCUCGCCGGUGGCUGGGCUUGCCUCCAACGAACGAUGGGCGGCGGCGGCGGUGGACGGUGGCGACGGACAGCAGAUGGUAGCGAGCGGUGGUGAACGGCGGUCGCGAGAUGGUCGAAGGGAAAAAGGAGGGUUCUUGAUUUUGAUUUUCAAAUUCGUUCCCGAAACAAGAAUCAACUUUUUUUUUGUUCUUGAUUCUAUUCCCAAUCUGUUCCUAGGAACAAAAAUUUUACCAAACACGAUUCUAAGCCCAAACUCAUUCUGAGAACAAAGAAUCAGAAUUUGGCAUUGUUUGGAUGGUUACCAAACAUGGCCUAUGUUGCAAGUUUGCAAUUAAGAAAAGAGGAUUUUCUUAUAUUUUAUCUAUUGUUUGGUGAAUCGUAAUAAUAAAAUUGGAUAUUUUCAUAUCAUGCCGUAACUAUUAAUGUAAAUGACCAUAAAAAUGCACAAAUGAAGAUGGUAAUAAUCUCUCAUAAUUCACUGCAAAAGAAAUCAUAAAUGCAUAAAUGAAAAUAACCUCCAUUAAUCAAUCCGUAAUUAUUGUAUGAUCUAAAUCUUAAACAACAAAUGAACUCAUCGCAAUAUUCUAGAGCAACGGGCUCAACCGCGACAAGAAAUGGAAAUGGGCUACGGCAACAUCAACAAGGUAAGUCAACCAUUGACUGCCAAAUCUAAUAAAGGAGAGAGAAAAUAUAAUCAUUUACCUUAACAACUUCACCAAGUAUAGUGUUUUGAUUUUCUCGCGACUCUGUGAAAUUUCAAUAUGAAACACAUAGUUAUGGAUGAGAAGGAGUAUCGACUCUGUUACAACUUUAACAAACUUUUGACCUGAAUUAGAGAGUUACAUAAGAGAAAGAACUUUGAUUACUCUCACCAUUUUGUAGAGCUUUGAUGUGAAUCAUAGAAUUAUGAAAGAGUCAUGGAACUUAAUAUGAACCAAGAGAUACGAAGGAGAAGGAGAUGAAGAGGGUAGGCUUUUCUUUGGAAAUGUCAUCGCCCCUCAUCCCUUGAGAACUAGAAUGAUUAUUUUCAAGUUUGAAUUAAUUCAUUUUAAUAUAAGAUCUUUUACUUCAAUUUUAGUUACUUAUUUUUAUUAUUAUUUUCCAUCUUUUAUUAUUUUUUAUAUCUUUUUUAUUUCCUUCCAUCAUUCCUUAUUAAAAAAAUUUAUCAAAUAAUAAGUUAUACUAGUAUAGCUAAUAAUAUAUAUACCAAAUAUAUGUACAUACUAUAUAAAUAAAAAUAUGAAAUAAAUAAAAACAAAAGAUGUUGUUAUGUUUUAUUAUUUUAUAUUAGAAUUCAAUUUUUUUAUAUUUAAUGAUUACGAUAAUUUUAUUAAAUUAAAGUUUCUUAUUUAAGAAAUAAAUUUUUAUGAAUAGAUAAAAGAAAGCAUAUCCAUAUUCAUUUUACCUCUCCCAUAUGAUAUUUUAUUUGGGCCAUAUCUCUCUUACAUCCAAUUUUAUGCGGUCUCAAGCAGGAACCAACCACUAGAUAGGAAAAUUUUUAUGCUAUCUUAACUUUUAUCCCAACCACCAAAUAUAUCGUUAGGUGUAAAUCAAGUCAGUCAGCUCCCCGCAUGUCGGUAAGAUCCAUAAUUAUUGGGAAAAGCAAAAUGGCCAAAUGUCAUUUUCUAUGAACAUGACAACUAACUAUAUCAAAAUGUCGUAAUUCAUGGGAUUGGCCAUUUGAUCAAGUUGUUUUCAUUGCUUCUUUGGUUACACUGUAUCACUCGCUUAAGAUUGCAAUUCGGUAAUCAUGCUGUCCAAACGCGUCGCUUUCAUUCAAAGUACUACAAAAUUAUGUAGCCAUAUACGGAAGAAUCGCGUCAUCAACCGGAUGCCUCCAUCCCCGGCGAGCACCGACGCAAAAUCAUCGGUAAAUGAAGGCAUUAAUCCCGGCGCUCGUUUUCAGAGGAGAGAAAAAACUAUGAAAGAACCGAAUCUUCAUGAACUCCUCACUUGGCGGCCAACUAUCAGGACAUCGACCCCGAGCCCUCCAUUCGCAUGACAACAACUAUUGAUGGGGUCUUUUCCUUAACAAGUGUCCCGAAAGACGCUCGUUAAUGAAGUCCGUAUCGACAUAUUAGUCAAUUUAGCUCAACGUCAGCAUGACGAAAGCAUUGGUCUUGAAUUGGGCAUGCUCCGGGUAGGCCAGAGCAAGAGGCGAGGCACCCAUUAAUUAAUCAAAGGGCACACAGCCACGUCCUCCGAGACAGAGUCUUGUUCAUUCCGAUCGUGACUCGCCAUACAUGCCUCAUUGACUCAACUUUCAAAGCUGCCUCCUCCCCCGGGGGACACAGCGGUCCAUCUCGGCCACCUACCGAUAUUAAAGACUACAAAAAUUUGUGAGUCUUGUAAAGUUGAGCGUUUACUUACUAGAAAUCGGAAGAAUAUUUAACUUCUAUAAGACGUUUGCUCGAUCGAUCCGUUUGGAUCGAUUCAUGAAACCACACGAUCCAUUGUUGAAGCAUAUCGUGCAAUCAUUUUGUAUACUUGCCAAUUCGCUUAUGAGUUAUUUUUAUGAUGAUCGACCAGCUCACCAUUUGAGUGUGAAUAUGGUUUCAUUGAGUCGACUAGCCAUUUGAGUUAAAUUCAACUUUAGCAACUGCGUAGUCUUGGGGCCAAAAUAGACAAUCAAGGGCAUUUACCUUUCCAUAAAGCAGGAAAUAUGCGGCGAUAUCAUUUUUCACUUCUAUGUCAAAUUGAAGACUCUAGAUCUAGUUCAAACGGUCAACCAUGAGAUAUUAUCUCCAUUAGGAGUCAUCAGUUUCAAGCUGGGUCAAUUCCCAUCCUUGAACUUGGAUCAGGUAAGACUCGUUCUCAGUUUGAGGAAUCGAAAUUAGCCCAUUCAGUCCUGGAAUUGGAUUGACUGGUUCAGUUCGAUUUUAGAAUUGAUCCAGUAAUUGAUGAUUUCUCUUUCUUCUUUUUUGUUUCUUCUAUUUCUUACAAGUGGGAGUUUCCUAAAAUUAAAAGAAAAAAAAAAUUCCAAUUAGAGUUUGCUUCAAAAUUAUAAAAAUUAAGAAAUCUUGACUUGUCCAGUCAUUUUGGCUUCUUAUGUGGAACUAAGAAUUGGACCAAUUGUUCGAGAAACCACCCAAAAUCAGAUAGUUCGGUUCCCAGGUUAGACCGAAAUCGAUACACAACCCGAAUCACCACUAGCGGAUUGAUGCGUUACCAUUAGUAUCUUAUUUGACUCUCGAUUCAUAGAAUCGAGUCCAUAAGAAAUCACAAAUUGACUAAUACCCAAAAGCCACAACUAAAGCAUAAAAAAAUGUCAUGGUCAUACCAAAUGGAGUCACGCCACCACCUAAUUUAGCGUCGUUUGUGGGUUUGUGCCGCCUCUAAAGCAUUGGUGGGAUUCGACUUGAAAGUUCCUCUCUAGAUGUUGCUAUUGGCAAAUAUGUGUUUUUAAACGCCAAAUCUAAUGGAUAUAUUUGUUAUUAGUUGAAUUUUGGAGAAUAAUAUUUGUUGUAUACAUAUAACAUGAACGAAGUUCAACCGGAGAAAUUGCGAUUAUGUUUAUGGAGUAGUUCAAUCAUCUCUUCUCAACAUUUACAUGAUAACAGUUAGAUAAUCUUUUCCUUUUUGGCGAUUGGACGGUAUAUGUCAACUUUCGUAGCCUACAUAAAGUCAAUCUUUAUGCUAUGAUUAAAAGCAAGUCAUCUAUAUCAAGAGGGGGGGGGGGAAUUGUGGGAGUUAUUUUCUCGUGAUCUCUCCCCAAAUGACAUGGUUAAUGAACUGAUUGAACCUAUGACCUACACUUUCUACAACACGACAUUUCAAUCGUUUACACUCGACUAACUUCUUAUAACUUUUUAGUUGUCGGAUAAAUUAUCAUUAUCCAAAUGGAUAACUCUCGUCUCUAAUAAGAUUCCAUCUUUUGAAAUGCCCAUCAAGCCAUGACUCUCUAGAUAAAAUCGAAACUGGCCUUUUGAUUUGGUAAUUAGAAAGCUCAACUUGCUUAUUGUGUCUAACUUGCCUUUUGAUUUCUAUUACGAUUUGCUAACAAUGGCGACGAGGGGAUAUCGACGAAUAAUCCAAACAGGAUAAAACAAGAAGCAUAUGCUACGAAAUUAAAAACACAUCUCACAAUCAACUUACUUUGACUAUACCAUACCCCACAUUAAUCUAUAUUAUUUGACUAGCUCAGAAAUAAGCCUAUUGAUAAUAAAUUUUCUAAUGCUUUGAUCAUCGAUGCGGGAUUCCAAUCAUCGCACGCCAAUGACCUAGGCAUGAUCGAUGAUCGAGAAACGACUUAUAAGCUUCUUAUUGGUUUAAGCAGAUCAAAUCAGACUCUACAUUAGUUUUCGCGAAUCGGAUGGCUUCCACAUUUACAAUUGGUGAAAAGUAUGACCUGGGCGCGACAUGAUUUUAAACUUUGUAAGGAACUACAUUUUUGUAAGAUUAUCAUAUAUUUCGGAGUCCACGAGAAUCCCUUUUUUUUUUUUUUUGCCCCCUUCUCUCUCUUUUGGAGGGUGACCGUUGAUGUUUGAGUUGCCAUUAGCUUUCGCAAUUAGGUUUUCGUUUGCUCUUGCUUGUUCUGUUGCAAGACAUUUUGAUAUUUCUCGAAGACAAGAAAAUCGAUCAUCGGUCGAGCCAAACUGUCCCUUUUGCGGAUGUGCCGACAGCCGAGGGCCGGGAAGCGGGAAGGUAAAAGGGGGAAGGGGGGGGCGGCCUUGCGUUGGCACAGCCGCACAGGUGGGGCCCGCCUCAACUUCCUCGGUUAAGCUGUCCGUGGGCCCCGCUCGAAGGGGGCAUCGCGCGCCGGAGGAGGCGCCACGUGUCUGGACGACGUGCCAACCACUCAUUGUCCAACCACGUCGGAGUCAAUGGGCGCGGGGAAGGCGGGGCUGAGGGGUUUCCCUAAGAACAUGCCGUGUCGCUGUCCGAAAGCCCCGAACCACAACCACUGGCGCGUACGUGUCUACCUGGAGCCAAUCCUGGCCCUCCACGUGGACAGAACGUGAAAAUGUCUCGUCUUGUUUAAGCACUCGAUCGUGUAUUUCUUUUUGUAGGGGGAAAGAGAAAAUAAUAUCAUGUCAUGUCAACAUAAUACAAAGGAGAUAACAUUGAACCUCGUAAUCUAAUGACAACAGAUGACAAAAUGAUUAAUGACUUUCAUGAGCUAUGACAUGAUUUUUUAUAUAUGUAAAUAUGUACGUAUCAAUCAAAUCAUUAGCAUUAUCUGGACAUGUUAUCUGCAGUACAUAGCACUUGAACACGCGGCUGGCAUGCUUCGGGUAUUAAAAUAGGAAGAAAAAGAAAAGAAAAAAAAUUGGAUUCACGUUGUAAAAUCUGAAUAAAUGUGCGAGGGACGAACGAGGCCUUAUAAAAUGCUUCUAAUUCAUGAAAAUAAAAAAGACAAAAUUAAUCUUAUUUCUCGAGGUUUGAUUUUUACAGAAUUUCUUUUGGUCAAGAAGGGAAUUCGUGCAUGGCAACAAGCAAUUGUCACGCGUGCUUUUUUAUUCCGGCGAUCGAAACAAUGACGAAGCUGUAUACUUAUCGAGUCGCCAAUCUUUCAAGUUGAAUAUUUUUUACAAUUCUAACUUGUUUCUUAUUGAAGGGACAUAAAAGAAGUUUAAGGGUUACUUAUCAUGAUUUACGCCUCUCAAUUUUAUAUGUCACCUAGGCUUUUGACAUCAAUAUAUAAAGUUUUGUAAGUAUUCGGACCCCUCUCUCCCUCUCUCUCUCCAGCCCUAGCCUCUGGCUUGCUAGAGGGAGAACAAAAGAGAAAAAGAAAAAAGAUUAAAAGAUUAAAAUUUGAAAAAAAAAUAAAAAAUCGACAGUCAAAUAGCCAUCGGCUAACGUCCAUGUUAACGUCGACCAGCCAAAAUUGAUCAGAUUGAUUGAAUUGACACAAAUACAAAAAUUUUAAAGUUGAAUUGAUAAAAAAAUUAUAAAUAAAUUGAAAAAAUUAUAAUAGAUUUAAGAUUAUUUUGGCAAAUUUUCCCACCAUGAUUUGCGUUUGCAAUUUUAUAUGUGGCCAAGACUUUUGACAUCAAUAUGUCUGAUUCUAUAAGAGUUGAACCUCUCUCUCGUGCGUUCUAGCGUUCCUUUGUCGAGACCAGUCCGAUGGAUGUUCUUCUCCUUCAAAAAGUGAACAUUCCCUCCCUAUGGUUUCUUAAUCUUUGUUCAAGCUAGACAAAGGCAAAUCAAACGGAAUCACCGGGCAUUCCAGGCCAUUUGCAACCCCAUUUAUGGGAAGCGACACUGGCGAAAUUUACCGGCAACAUCACACUCCUGCGGUCGCUGGAUUGUCGAAAAUGGAUGGGAUUGUUCGUGUGUUGAUUGCAAUUUUGCUUUGGCGGGAUUCUAAGGUUGGAGCUCUAAAACAUCUCAUCAUCCAAUCUAAUCGGAGAAGCAAAUCUAACACAUAAUCCAAGGUACAUAUGUCUGAUUAGAUCACGACCAACAUCAAAGUUGCUAGCAAAUGUGCUAUACGUGGCAUCCCUCUCAUGGUUUCAAAAUGACUAUCAACAAAGAUUUCUUAUAAAAAAAAAUAUGAUUUUGAAUAUGUUAGUAUGCCAUGCAAAUCCUUUAUUUUUCAUUUCCACCUAAUGGCUCUUCUGAUUUUGGAAAAAAAAAAAAAAUCUUCAUUAAUAUGCCGCUUCUCCUAACAAUUAUGUACAACCUAGAAUAAUAAAUAGCUAGUAGUUAGGAUUCAUUAAAAAAUAAAUGGAUAAUUAUCUACUCAUGGGGAACCCUUUUUGUACUAGAUACUAAUAUCAUUGUAUCUAAUAUCAUUUGAACGUAUAAUUAGAUCGGGUAAUCAUUCAAAUUAAGAAAUUAUCAAUAGAUGUUCGUUGUUGUUGUUUUUUUUUUUUUGCCUUUAUAGUUACUUCAUCCUUCCACUUUAAUAAUCUAUUUUAUUGAGAUUAGUAGUGGAAUAAGGGCACGUAUGCCUUCGAGUCUAUCAUUCGUGGGAAAAAAAUUCAAGUAACCAACCUGUGCAUUCGUUUAUCUUUACAACCCGUUACUCGAUUAGUCUGGAUACUCGAAUCGAUUUCGCAAGUCAUGGCUACCCAAUCAAUAGCAAUGAAGGCGGGUCGUCUUUAAAAACAAGCGUACAUAAACGGGGACCAUCUAGGCGAAGCGGCUUGAGAUGAAGCGGCAUCCGGAGCGAGAUUAUACUGGAACUGCAACUCACAUCCAUCUUAAUACCGGAGCAACGCAUGAAGAAAGCUAAUUCAGGGGCGCGACAUCGAAACCCCAAGUCCUUAAUUUGUUUAAUGACAGAACGGAGGAGUUUCGGGGUCGUGUCUCGUGCUGCAUGGAGCAUCAUCAUUCUUACAGAGCAAGGAUGGAGAGAGAGCGAGAGAGAGAGAGAGAGAGAGAGAGCAUGAAAAUGUCUGUUCGGCCAUGGUCGUUGUCCCGUACACAAGACAACUAAACGCACACGUCCCUUUCCUAAAGGCGUGCGAGCCCCGGGAGCAAGUAGCGCCCAUAAUGCUGUCGCCAUGGAAAGCCAAAUGAGGAGGAGGGAGGGAGGUGGAGGACCAUCUGACAGCGCGCAGAGACAGAGGAGGAAGAGAGAGAUGUGGCGGUGGUACGACACAAGAAGACGUUACGUGCUCCUCCGGGACGGGGACGCAAAUGCAUGAGGGCGGGGUCGCUGUCGGCGCGCCCCGGAUGAGCCCGACGGGUGCUGCCGGAGAGGGUGAAACGUUCUCUGCCAUGUCCUUUCAGGGUUUUCUCCUGUACCCAUCUCGCGCCUGAAGACGCCUUGCUCUUUCGCAUUCGCCAUCUCGAAAUGGGGAAGAGGAAGCGUGCGUGGAUCGUGUCGUGCGUGUUCUUGCUCGACCGGCAAAGGGCGAAUCGUUUUCACAGGAUUGGGGGAUGGCCGCUGGCGGAAGAGACAAAAGUUGGGCGCCGGGCAUUGCAAACUGAGUCGUACGUACGGUGCAUUUUGGUACUUGGGCAAAUUCCAAGCACGCAUGUGGCGGGAAACUCCUUCGUAGGAAUAUGCUCGAGCGGUAACGUGUCCCACUUGUGCAUCGCUCGAAUUCAUCCGCCUCUUACUCCACAUGAUGAUAAGGUUUAGGGUACUACAAAACCUUCUGGUGUUGCACUGCUGGCCGUGGUGCUGCCUUCAUCCAGCCGCCGUAUACAUGAAUUAAAGGUUUAGGGUGCUACAAAACCUUUUCGUGUUGCACCGCUGGCCUAUAAAGCACCGACGCUCUCUAAGAGCCUUCGUAUUUGUAUUGUGUCACAUACUUUCCGAAAUUCGAUCAAAUACAUAUCGGAAAAUCCGACUCUUGAUCAACUUUCUCAACACUCUCCAGUCGGAAUUCUUACAUACAAGUUUUCGAUACGUAAUUCUAAUAUCGAGAUCAAUUUUAAAAUUUAAUAAAUGAGAUGUCAAAAUAUAUAUAUAUAUAUAUGAAAAAAUAAAACACAAUAAUAAAAAUAAUAAAUAGAGAAAAAAAAUAUAGUAUUCUCUUCUCUUCUCUUUUGACUCCCACUUCCCAUGAUACAUAAUUCACUCAUUAUUUUUUUUUCCUCCUCUUCUAACAUAUUUAACAUGCGAGUCCAGAAUAUGAAUCGCUUGUUUUUUCUCUAAAUUUUAUGAAUUAUUGAAAUAAAUUUGAAGUUGUCAAAUUAAAAUAAUGAAUUAUAUUAAUAAAUAGCUUAUAGGCUUAUUAUUAAUUUGAUUGAAAUAAUCAUAAAAAUAUAUAUUUAAUAUACAACAUGUUCUAACGUGUGUCAGAAUUAUGUCAGAAUUAUUUGUUUUUUGAAAAACGACAUGCUGGCGUGUCGUGUCGUGUCGCAUGUUGCGUAUUAGUAUCGAUGUUACUUAGCUGUUGCCUUCAUCCAGUCGCCGUGUACAUGCAUUUGAUUCAGCAUUUUCAAGGAACUUUUGACUUCCAGAUUCUCUUAGAGAAAUAUUGGAUCGUUUGACAAUUAUUUUAAAUAAACUUUCAACCAAAUGCUGAUCUUAGAAAAGUUGAAAGCCCAAUACUAAUAGGGAUUAGCAUUAGAUUUUUAGUAUUUAGCCAAAUACCUAAGCUAAUUUUUUCAUUCCAAAAUUAUCUUAAAAAAUUCUUCAAAUUCUCGAUUUUGUCCCUAGUUAAUUUUUUUAUUUAUUAAAACGAUGAGAAAAUCCUUCGCAAACUAGGGAAGGGUUAUGGCCAUCAGCGAGCCAAAUUUGAUGCCCAUUGGUUGGGGUUAAUUCACCUCAGGCAACCUUCGACGAGGGUCACACAACCUAGUUGAGGCUACCACGGUGAGGGUCCUUCAACCCUGGUAGCCGUUGUGUGACCCUUGCGAGACCCAAACGAGAGCUGCAUGAGGCCACAAGACCCAAGCAGCGGUCGCUUGGGUUGCAUGCCACCUAGAUUGGUUGGCCGAGGUUGUGCAACCUCCAACGGCCCUCGGCUGGGUCGCGCAACCUCACUAGAUCUGGCUCGCUGGCUGCCAUAGUCCUUCACUGGUCCAAUGAAGGGCUUAGUUUAUUUUUCAAUAUAUAUCCAAAAUCCAUUACAAAAGUUUUUUUUUACUAAACAUAUAUUCAAUUCAAAGUCCAUUUACAAAUAAAUUUUACCAAACACGUUUUGCAUUUUCUUAAAUAACUUUGACUUUCGGCAUUUGCAUUACACCAAAAGCUGAUUUACAAAACUAAACCAAAUGCAUCCAGGGAAACCGUUGUCUAACCUUCUGCUAGCUAUACCACAGCAUCAACUCAAUCGAGUCCUUCUGGUUCGCCUACCCAUGUUCGCCGCGAUUUAGUUCAAAAGGCACGAGUCCUAUCGUCAAAAGAAACAUUUAUCUAUGGGAGAUAAAUUAAUGAAUUGGAGAUGUCCAUCCAUUUCCAUCGUAGGAAGACACCUAGUCGAGUUAAUGAUAUCAGAUGUGUGUGGACCGUAAGGAGAUCUCAAGCACAGUGUUAGGUUUUGUCAUAUUCUAGAGACAAAUAACAUUGUUCAUAAUCAGUAUCGUUUGCUUUUGGUCUAGUCCCUGAAUCGUUGCGUGGCUUCAACACUGCCAUCAAGUACCGAAGAUCCCUUUUUUAAAUCAGCUACAGUCGAUGUUCGAUCCAAAAGGAGUACCCACAGUCAUUACAGUGUGCACUCAGGUGGUUUCCAAAGUCUCAAAGCAAUUUAAUUGCUUGUGGAAUAUGGCAAAGGGAUGCAGAAUGUCCAAUCCAGCCCUCCGCUUUCGCCAAGCAAUGACGCAAUAUUCAUGGGGCGAUGUGUCGGUUUUCUGUGGAGAUGAAAGGUCAAAAAAAAAGAGGAGAGAACUUUGACCGACGCGACCCGCAGGUCUGAACGAGGAACCACGCACCGCAGCCGCCCUAUGCUUUCGCUUCACCACCGCCCAGCUCAGAAGCUUAAAAAACCUCAAAGAGCCUGCCCCCCUUCCCUCUCUAUACAUUCCUUCUCUCACAAGCAAAAACUGUUGCUAAGCCCUGUAGAGCUUGAAACGCCUUGUGGACUUUUUAAAGCUACGUUCCAUCUUGCUCAGAACUUUAAUUUCUCCAUUGAUGUUACCAUACCAAUAAGAAGACCAUCGAGAAUCGGUUGAUCUCGAGGUUAAAUGGGUCAUUUACCUUUCACGAGAUUAAGAUUUCGCUUCAUAUUAUGAGCGAAUUUCUUGACUGCAAAUAUUUCAAUACAGUUGUGAUAUGAGCUUUUGCCAACUUUGAAUCUUCAAAUUGCUAACGAUACGAGAUAGUUAUGACUCAAAUCGAAUAUUUCAUAAUAAACAUGAGAUCUUAUGAUAAUGCUAAAAGGGGCUCGCCACCGUCAACUUUCAUCCUUUUUAAUCAACAUGAAAGAUAGUUUAAGCCAGUGCGGGAUAUGAGAGCAGUUGAGAUUAGGUCAAGAGAGGAAAAAAAAGUGUGAACUUCUUUACCUUUCUUUACUAUAUAGUUAGGGUCAAACGUUGAAAAUUAGCCUUGGAACUAGAAGGAGCAUUAGUUACUUCUGGCUUUUGUUUUAGGCUUUUCCAUUACUGGUGAGAAACAAAUAACUAUAUAUGAACUACUCUCGUUUCCACAUGGGAUUAGUUACCGUAACCACAAGGCUUAAAUGCCGUAAUCAGGUUUUCUCUGUGCUUGUCAUUACGUAAUACAAAGAAAUUUUCACAUUUGUUCUUUGGUGUGCUUGCUUUUAUUUCCUCGAGAUCUCAAAAAAAUUUAUGCCCAUUCGAAUCUCACCCAUCUCAUUUACAGAUUAGCUCUUCAAACAGCUUGUUUAAUGCCGAUUAUGAAGAGAAAAGAGAGAAUUUUAUUCGAAGUUAGUAGUAGUUAAGUCUUUAGUUUUGUCUAUAGUGGCAUCUUCAGCGGAAGUUUGGCGAGAAUUUAUAUAUGUGUGUGUGUGUGUGUGUAUUACAGAGCAUCGUAAGACCUCCCUCAAAUUGCUCAAUGAACUCACAAAUCCUUGGGGAUCUCCUCCGGACAACGGGAUGAAAUCUUUAGGACCAAUCAAUCUCACAGGAAACGGUCAGAUCUGAGCUUUUGGCAUUGCGGGUUCAGACAUCGGAAGAAGGGAAAGGGGGGAAGGAGCAGAGAAGAGUUCAGGAGAGGAGAGAAAGAGUCGAGAAAUCGAAAGACGUGAUUAGAUGGUUCUUAAGCAGAAGGAAGUAGAAGAAGAAUCGGGUUCGCCGGGUCAUCCAUCCGUCCAUCCUUCCUGUAAACAGAGAAUACCGUGAAAGAAAUUGGUACGAAUGCCGGGUGCUUUAUAUCUUCCGAAUGUCAGAGUCGAGAUCCAUUUUGGCGUCAUAUUACAUAAGAAAUUGUUGUGACCCAAAAAGGCUGAGGUGCGAAACUCAUAAAAUCGUGGGUUUGCAAUUUGCCAGAAAAAACGAAAUUGGAAAAUCGAUGGAAUCGCCAUCCUGACGGGGCGGAGAAUUUUGGAUCCUACUUUCGGGAACAUGUAGGUACUGAAUGUAACCCGUGAUGGCAACAGAUAAAUUCAGAUGUCCAAUGAGCAUGAUUCUUUAUUUCUGGGGAUGGUUCUCUUUUGAAAAACCAAGGUUGGAACUUUUCAACAUCCAAAGACCUUAUGUGAAAAAAUUGACUAUUCAUCUCUUUUAUUAGCUUUUUAUGUAUCUUCAUCUAAUUCAACAACCUAAAACAUACAUCUCAAUGGAGCUUUUGCACUACUGAAGCAAGUGCCCCUCAAGCUAUGUCAAAAGAAAAGAAAAAUAGAAAAAGAAAAAGAAAAAAUUGCAAAAGAAUGAGAGUAUAAACCCAUAUCUUCCCACCUCCCUCCCUCCCAUCUUCACCUCUCUUUGAAACCCAUUAGAAAAGGGGAAAAAAGAGAGUAGAACCCAAUGAAAUCACGAAAAAUAGGGGAGAUCUCAAUCGAGUAGCUGAUCUGAAGGAAUUUGACCAAAAAUAUCAGGACAUGAUUCCCAAUUCCCCUUCACUCUCGCCUCCCAAUAGCCACCUAGGUAACGGAACGCGUCGCUUCCUUUAUCCUUCGCGAACCACCGUGGCUUCCAGCCCCUCUCUUGCAUAUUGCGAGCCUGAAAUAACACGAAUUCCAAAUUACUAGCCACCCAAUUGGUAUAACACCGUGUGCUAACGUAACAGGACAAAGUCGUCGAUCAAGUCUUGAUUUGACAUCUUCAUUUGCUAUAUGGAGUGACUGGGUUAUGCACAAGAAAGCAAAAGAAGUACGCAAAAACCAAGCUUCAGAAUAAAAGACGAAGUUAUAAGUAAACCGCAAAGGUCCGGCCCGAGUGAACUCAAUCUCAAGAAACAAAGUUGAAUAUUUCCUCCAUGACAUUAAUCCCAUCAACCUUUCUUUUUUCUGACGCGAAGGAUGUGACCCCAACCAGUUAGACAAUUUGCGUUGAUCAGUUUCACCUUUCUCCCUCCACCCAAUUACUCAUGAUCGAGAAAAUUUAUCACCAGAUCCACAAAAUUAAGCACCAAUUUAAACAACCGCAGAGUAUUGCCAACUAUAGGUUAUUCACUUCCACCAGAACUGGAAACCAAGAUUAAAAAAGGAUUACCAGUCUUUGACGUUGUUCAAGUCUCAACUUUUCAGAGUUUGCCAUUUCAUACUCUCCAUUCUCCAAAUGUCUCUGAUCAGGUCUAAGCCUUGAAUCUGUAGGUGGCAGCUUCUCCUGCAAAUAAAUGAAAAAUAAGCAUCAUUCUGAAAGAUCACACGGAACAACUAUGAGCCUCAUAUGAUUCACUAACGUCACUAAAACCCUACCUGGGUUAAAAAAAGACAUCCUUACAACUAGGAUGUGAGACACAGAAAUAACAACAAAAAUUAGAAUGGUGAUCUUUCAAAUCAAAUGUGCCUUAAGUUCCAAAUAAUGAGGAAGCAUUUUACCUAACGAUAAAUAUGCUUCUCCUCAAUCGCCCUGAUUAAUUGGUAAUUCUAUUCCUCGGCUAGGCACCCUUACAGAGUAGAAAUAAUUACAUCUUCUUUAGAAGUAUUUCUUACUUUUUGAACAGAACAAAGCAAAUAUUCAGUCCCCACCCCCUUCUUUAGGUAAAGAAAUCAGGGCAAUUCGAUUCCUAAAUUCACGCAGAUGAGGGAGAAACAUGACACUGUUUACUACAAUGCAUGACCAUAUAAUUACUAGGUGUAUGAAAGGCCUUAUUUGAUUAAAAAAGAGAUGCAAUGAGAAUCCAGGAACCUGCUUCUGUGCUUCACAAGUGAAAACUGCAAAUAUGAAACCGUUACCUUAAGUCCAGGAGUAAGCUCAUUCAGUGUCAUGGCGAAGUGUGUCAAGUUGUAUCUGGUGGGAAAUUGUGGAGGCCUGCUCCGUUUCCACAAGAGUCGGGCUUCAGAUAGAGAUUCAAAUCCUUUGCCUUUUUCAGAACAAUCACCAUGCACAUAAUGCACGCUUUCAUCCCAUUUACCAAAUAAAGUUGCCGCUGUCUUUCCAUUUCUAUCUUGGACAAUGCCAUGCACCUGAAUUGAAAGAAAGCAACGUGUUUUUCAACAUAAUUGCCGCAUUCAUUGUUCACAGGAAACAAAAGGAAAUUUAUUUGAGGAAAGAAAUUGCGAUAUUGGUUGUUCAUCCACAAAAUAACAAGUCUCACCAGUCCCCAGGGCCAUUAUUUUAAGUUAUAUCACAGCACAAAGUAAUACCCAAUCAUACUGAAGGACAAAUAGAGGCGCAACAAGAUGGUGAUUAACAAUCCAAAACUUCAUACAAGCAUUUAGUACCUAGACAACUAGCUAAUCUAGCUUCAAGUGAAUAAAAGCUCAAGCAUGAACAAGAAAACCAGAGAUGUUUAUCAACUGUGCAACAAAAUGAUUGAAUGAGAACCUAACAACAGCAGCAAGAUUUAUCCUCCAUUUUGAAGCAAGCAAACAGUCUUGCUGAUUCAAGACCAAAAAAAAAAAAAAAAAGUCUUGCUGAGCCGAUUCUUCUUACUAAUUAUCGAAAAGAAAAAACACAACAUCCAAAGCCCAUUGCUUUCAGCCACUUCUAGUGUAGAGCCUAAGGCCCUGUUUGUUAACGUUCUUUAUUUCUGUUUAUGAACAAAAUUUUUGUUUCUCGUUUCUAUUCCAAAUUUGUUUCAGGGAACAAAAAAAGAAUAGAAACACGUUUGUUUGCGUUUUUGUUACAAAUCUAUUUUUUUGUUCCUAAGAACACAUUUGGAAUAGAAACAAGAAACAAGAAACAAGAAAAACGUGUUACUUGUUUCUGGAAUAAUUUUUCUUUCUCCUCUCUUUUUCUUCUCUUUUUUCUUUUCUUUUUGUUUUUUUCUUUGGCCGGUCGCCAGCCUCGGCCAUGGCGGCGAUCGGUCGUCGAGGGCCGGCGACCUCGUUAGAGCGUCGCCGGCCCUUGGCGAGGUUCGGCCUUGCCUUGGUUGGGCGAGCUUGGGCUCGCCCAGAUCCGGCGAGCCCGAGCUAGCCCAGCCACCGGCGAGGCUCGCCGGCCUAGUGAUGGCCCGGCGAGCUCGGGCUCGCCCAUAUCCAAGGCGAGGCCGAGCCUCGCCGGCACGGGGCAAGGCUGGGCGGGCUCGGGCUCGGGCUCGCCGAGUCAUCGGCUGGUUGCCGGCCAUGGCCGAGGUCGGUGACCGGCCAAAAGAAGAAAAAAAGAAAAAAGAAAAAAGAAUAAAAUAAAAUCAUUAAAAAAUUAAAAUAAACAAAAAAAGAACAUAAAUUUACCAAGCGUGUUUCUAUUCAUUUUUUAUUCCCGAAAUAAGUUUAUCAAACGUCUUCUUCUGUUAAAAAAUUGUUCUCCGGAGCAGAAAUGGUUUUUUCUAUUUCUGUUUCUUGGAACAAUUUCUGAACAGAAACGUUACCAAACGUGCCCUAAAUCACUAUCUUCUAAAAGUGGGACAAAAAAACAUUGAAUUAAAACAUGUUCUUCAGUGCUCUUUAAAGGGAAUGUCUUUACAAUCAACAUUUUACAUUUGAAGGGAGCAAUCAAUUCUAUCACCCCCACCCCCCCUUGGGGCACCCUUCUUUUUUUUCUAAGCACUGACAUCACUCUUUUCAUGCAAGCAUUAUACGGGAAACUACUAGGUUAUGUCUGAUUGUGCCAGCCAGUGAAAUCAUGAAAAAGCCAUAGCCAUGGUCGAAACAGUAGAAAUGAGUAAGAGAAAACAUCAAUUAAAAGCCCAACUCCCAGGAACCUUUUAAAACCUCAACUUUGAUGCCCCCUAGUUAAGAAACUUUUGACUCAAGAUAGGAGCGCUACUAGUAAGGCUUUAAAAUAUAGAAAACUAAAAUAAAGGAAGUCCAAAACAAGUUGAGGACGAGAGAGAGAGAGAGAGAAAGAAACCUGGUGAGGAUUUCUGUCUAUAAUGGACUGUUCCUUAAAUUUCAGCUUACAUGAAUAGCCACGAUUUCCUUGUAUGCGCAUAGUGCCAUAAUGUUCGCAGUACAAUUUUCCCAAUAUGAGAUUGUAUAUAGAUGUUGUAACCUAAAAGGAAAAAUUCUUCCAUGAAGAACUGAACCUGAAUAAUCCAAAAACCAUAUAAUAACUGAUGCUUACCUUACUCCAUUGGAAAAUUUCCCCGUCAUCAAAUUCUAUAGUCAAGACACCAGUUGGGUCAAGCUGAAUUGACCGGCCCCAAAAUUUGCUCUUUAAAUUGCUGUCUCCCCAGAAUCUCCAUCCAGUUCCUUCACAGUGACAUGCCACUAUCAUGGGAUGAUGACUGACCUGAGACCAGAAUUUGUCAUAGCUUUUCGUAAGACACCAUAUAGAGGAAGUUCAAACUGGAGGAGAAGAAUCAUUAAAGUAGAGAGAUUGAGCCAAGAAGAGGAGCUGUCUCAAUCAUCACAGAAAGAUGACCCAUACUUCCUCAUAGUUUCUCUGCAUAUAUAGUGAAGAAAGUGGGCAAAAGUAUCAUAUUGUAAUUGUUUAUGCAACUAUUGCGAGAGCGUGACUUGUUAAUUGGUGCAGACAUGCUUCAGAUAUAGAGAUUCUUGAAAUCCAUCACAAAGAUGCAUCACUGAGCUUCCAUAUUAUAAAGAAGGUACCUUCUCUGAGAAAAAACGGACUCCUUUAUCAGGAUAGUCAGCUUCAUAGGUCUCCCCCAAUAAUGGAUUGAAUGGUUUGCAAAUUCUUCCUUCAGUUGAAGCAUAUCCAGAUAUAGCAAAAGCAGCAACAUUAAGAAUCCUCAUGAGGCUGUUACCCUGAAAAACUUGAUGAAGUUUAAGAAAGGAUUGGGUAAGGCACUGCUCAUUAAGAAUGUUAUCAAGAUUAUGAAACUCUAAAGUUAAAAAGGUCAAGCAAAAGAGGAUGUGAUGUGCAUAGUACAUAUCAAUAUUCGUGAAGAGGAUUGACUAUUUCUUAGUUUGACAGGACAAUCAAGAUGAGUAUAUCAACAUCAAUCAAGCCAGCCAAUCAACGACUGUGAUGAAUUAUUAAGAGAAGCCGAAAGCCCCUUAUCAGAGGCAUUUAUAUGAUUUUACAGGGUAACCUUCAUGGCAUCUAUUAUACAACAAAACAACACCUCUUUCCCGUGAUUAACUGUAAAUGAUCGUAUCCAUGCUACAAAAUCGGAGGUAACAUUUCCCAUCAGAAAUAUAGGAAGGAUGCUAACUUAUUGAACCACAAUCAUCAGUGCAAGUCAAUCAAUCCAACAUACGUUUUUCGAUCCAAUAUGCAGUGAAGAUGAAAUCAUUGUGCCGUUCUAACCAAAAUGAAAAAUACUAGACUUAAAUCACAAACUCACCCUUCUACCCCAUUCGUAGGCCCGAUCAAUAAGAUAUGAAUAUUCCAAAUCUUCAAAACACUUCUGGAGAGACGAAAGGGGCUCAUUGAAGUAAACAGGAAGACAAACUUUUGUAAGAUCUUUCCCAAUGUUAUCCUUUAUCAUUGACCAGAGACUGACACCCUUCUCCUUUUCGACAGGAUCAGGCAACUUCUUGCGCCGUUUGACAUAAGGAAAAUUUCUGCCAACGGAUUUAAUGGAGGGGUCAACGUCAUCUUCUGAGUCAGCCCCAUAAAUUCCGUCAUCUGAAGAGACAGAUGAUCUCCGGACUUCAGAUCCGUUACUUUUGAAAGAGCCAGACGAUAAAAAAUCAUGAGUAUCAAAGAAAGUAUGGACUUCGUCAUCUGUUUCUUCUUCUGCAGCAUCAACUCUUUCAGUAUCAGCAUCUGAUUCACUUGCACUUGCUUCUGCUUCAAAAAUAAAUUAUGAUUAUCAAAAUACAACAAAAGGGAAUCUAUCAUAGAAAAAAAAAGGAACGCAAAAUAUCUUGCCCAUGGCUAAUAUCAGUAACAUGUCAGUUGUAUGACAGGAUCCUACUAUACUUUCGGAAAUAGUUAUUGUCAUUAUUGGAGCCUAACUUAACCAACAUUGCAAGAAUAAAUUAACAAAAACCAUGCUUUAUGAUUCCUUUCUGCCAAAAGACCAGUCACCCCGAAUUUAGUUGUUACUACCUACCACUGCACUUGUCUUGCCUUGAAAUGGAAGCAGCCCCAUGAUCGGUGUGCUGUUUCUGGCUCUCAUCAACCACAGUGUUCUCCAAAUCCACUUUCUCUGUCUACAAAGUUAAUUUCAAAAGUCACAAGUGCUUUCCAGAUGGAAAAGAAUGGCAAAGAGCAUAUUAUGAAUUUAAAGAACAAAGGCCAUAGAUAUUGAUUCAGUAACAUGUUGAAUGGGUAAGAUAUCAUAGGACACAAACCGAAAAAUUUAAAAGAUCUCACAGAAUGAGGUAGCAAACCCCAUGUUGAAAAAUGACAACACUUUAGUCCAAACUAUCCGAUGAACUUGACAUAUAAUGGCAGAAAUUGAUAUGAGCAUCUACAUCACCACUGACACUGCUAGCCCAGCAACACUCUAAUCUAUAGUAUCAAGGUCAAAAUUCAUAAAAACAUUGCAACACGAAAUGAAUUCAUGCUAGAGUCUUUUGAAGGCAAAUAUAACUAGUAAUGUCCUCACUUUGAUUCAAACAAACAAUAAUAUCAAAUAUAAGCACCAUAUCUAUGUAUGUAUUGACAUAGAAAAAGUGCAAAACAGAACCCCACACAGCCCAGUUCUACAACUUUACCAAUGCACUUAAGCUUACAAAGUAAGUACUUGACAGAACAUAAUUUCUACUAAAGCAUGAACUAGCUCAACCUUAGCUCAGAUUUACCAGCAAAUACAUCAGCUUUUUCACAAUAACGAAAUUAUAGCAAAUUCCUCAAUAUCAGCAUGUGUGCGUGAUCACGUAGGGAGAAAACACCAUGAAUUGAGCCCCUGUAUCUGAGAAACUAGAAACUAGAGAUCCCUGAAGUCUAAACUGCUAGAGGCUUAUAUAAGAGGGCCAAAUUGCCACUUCAAGUCAACACAUACAAAAUAACAAUUGAAAGUAGCCUUGGUAGGGUGAUAGACAUCUCAUAACAAUCGAAUUGCAUGACACAGACUUAAAUCUUUAUACUCAAUUGUAUUAUAUUAAGUCCUACAUGAGAAAAGAUGAAAAAUGGAUAAAUCAAUAAGGUCUGUAACUUUCCAAGAAAAAUUACCGAAAUUCUCUCAAAAACAUUAUUACGGUCAUUUAUUUAACAGGACCAUUUCAAAGCACCACAUGCAAAGUACCAGAACUGAAGCAGAUCAUGCAGAAGUGUCCCUUGCCAAAGUAGUUCAUUCAGCAGGAUUUUCGAAAUGAAGGAUCAGAUUUCCAGUAUAUUGGACAAACUUAAGAACCAUAAAAGAACAUGACUUAUUGCUUCAUUCUUACAUAAACAUACCUCUAAUUGCCGCAAAGUGUCAGUAAGCAACCACUGCUUCUGUUUAAGCAGAAGCAGCUGGCUCUGCAGAGAAGCAAACUCACUCCUCAUAAUCUGUUCACUGUCCAAAAUGGCUGCCUCAUGCAAACCCUCUUCCUGAAGCCUCUGCCUCAACUUUUCAGUUGACACAGCCAAAUUGUCCAUUGGAGCCAUAAGCUCACUGUUGGACAUUCGUGGAAACAUGUCCUUGACAGCCUGCAAUGCUUCCAUCCAAGUCAAUCGAUCUUCCCGCGUCUCUGCCCUUAGGUGAAGCCUUUUGGUUCCCGUGAAAAUUGAAAACCUCUUGUCAUCUGACUUACUUUCGCGGAUAGAUGAAACCUACCAGGACAUUUUUCAGGAGGAACCCAUAAUUAGAGAGACCACUCCAACUCAAAUGACGCCGAUCAACUCGUCGACACAGUAAAUUAAUUGCAUAAUCACAUGGCCUCUACCAUUCGAUGCUCAACAACACGAGAAAAACAGUGGAAUGCUGAAUACAAAACCCAGUGUUGAUUAGGAAACAGGGAGUUACUAAACCAAUAGAUAAAGCCGCUCAAUUAGGAAGGAACGGGAAAGCAGUAAGAAAGAAAAUGAACUGACAACUACCUAAUCUGAAUCUACUUAAUUUGGCAUCAGGGGACGAAAACCUAUUUGCUCAUCAUUACGGUAGAGAUCAUAUAAGAGAGUCAUCGUAGACUCUCAACAUAAAAUUUACGCACAACGGUGUCAAAUUGGAUCCAAAUAAGGGAUGGACCAUACGUUAAUUAAGCUCCAGAUACACAAAAGCGAAUAAAUAUGCAGACAAGGUAAACCCACUCCUUAGUCUUGUCAGCAUAAGAGUCCAACUACGUCUCACCGCGAUUCUCACUGGAACGCGAUCGAGACCAGUGGAACUAAGCGACACAUGCAGACAAAAAAAAAAAAAAAAAAAACAAUCGCCAGAUGAUCGGAGAAGAAAAUGCAAUCGAACAUGCAACUGCAAAAGAAGUAACGUCAUGAUGGAAUCACAGGCACCGCAGUUCCGCAUACCUUGAGAUGAAUUUCACCGAAAGGCUUACGCCGAAGCUGCGAUUGACCGGGGGAAGUCCUGGAGACCCUCCUCAUCGAUUCUUCACCUAUAACCUUCGAUCCCCUCUCCGUCUCCUUGUUAACCGCGAUUUUAUCAGGUCCGUGUAUCUUGUAGUACGACAACACGCCGUCCUGCAACACGAACCACCUCGGCCUCCAGCCUUUACCGUAAUUCACCCACUUGUACAGCAUUCCCGAUAUGCCGUUCCCCACGAUGUCGUUGAUCUUCACGUCGACCGCCGGCUGCUCCCUCGCCGACGGCAGCCCCGCCACCCCCGCGUCCGCCGUAGGCCGCUGGCCGAGCCGGUUCUGAUCGCCACAGCUGCCGUUCCGCGCGUGGCCGUGGCCAUGGCCGAAGUGGUUCCCGAGCCGGACGGCCGCCGGAUCGGAUCUGGCGGCGGCGGAGGACAUGGGGAGGCGGGAGGAGAGGGCCGGCGAGGGCUUGUGUUGAUCGGAGACCGGGGAGAUGCAGCAGAACGGGUUCAUGGGGCCGGGGCGGCGAGAUCGGGGGCGGCGGCGGCGAGGGGCUUCACCAUCGAAGAAGGAGGCGGAAUGCGGCGGCGGAGGACUCCGGCGGCGAACGGACGCGGGACGGCCGAUCAAUCGAGGAUCGACAUUUGACGAUGGCGCCCACGCAGAGGAAGAGAGAGAGAGAGAGAAAUGGUCGUAUACGAGUUUUACG
rnacentral:lncRNA from 1 species